UACAGAGGAUGCAAGCGUUAUCCGGAAUGAUUGGGCGUAAAGCGUGCGCAGGCGGCGCGUUAAGACAGGUGUGAAAGCCCCGAGCUUAACUUGGGAAUUGCGCUUGUGACUGGCGUGCUGGAGUGUGGCAGAGGGAGGUGGAAUUCCACGUGUAGCAGUGAAAUGCGUAGAGAUGUGGAGGAACACCGAUGGCGAAGGCAGCCUCCUGGGCCAGCACUGACGCUCAUGCACGAAAGCGUGGGGAGCAAACAGG
rnacentral:rRNA from 1 species